ACGGAAGGCAGCAGUGGGGAAUAUUGGGCAAUGGGCGCAAGCCUGACCCAGCAACGCCGCGUGAAGGAUGAAGGUCUUCGGAUUGUAAACUUCUUUAAUCGGGGAUGAAAAAAAUGACCUACCCGAAGAAUAAGUCACGGCUAACUACGUGCCAGCAGCCGCGGUAAUACGUGGGUGACAAGCGUUAUCCGGAUUUACUGGGCGUAAAGGGCGUGUAGGCGGUUUGGCAAGUCAGAAGUGAAAUUCCUGAGCUCAACUCGGGCGCUGCUUCUGAAACUGCUAGACUUGAGUGCUGGAGGGGAUAGCGGAAUUCCUAGUGGAGCGGUAAAAUGCGCAGAUAUUAGGAAGAACACCGGUGGCGAAGGCGGCUAUCUGGACAGUAACUGACGCUGAGGCGCGAAAGCGUGGGGAGCAAACAGGAUUAGAUACCCUGGUA
rnacentral:rRNA from 1 species